rnacentral:rRNA from 1 species
AACGAACGCUGGCGGCAUGCCUAACACAUGCCAGUCGAACGAGACCUUCGGGUCUAGUGGCGCACGGGUGCGUAAUGCGUGGGAACCUGCCCUUAGGUUCGGAAUAACUCCCCGAAAGGGGUGCUAAUACCGGAUAAUGUCUUCGGACCAAAGAUUUAUCGCCUUUGGAUGGGCCCGCGUUGGAUUAGCUAGUUGGUAGGGUAAAAGCCUACCAAGGCGACGAUCCAUAGCUGGUCUGAGAGGAUGAUCAGCCACACUGGGACUGAGACACGGCCCAGACUCCUACGGGAGGCAGCAGUGGGGAAUAUUGGACAAUGGGCGAAAGCCUGAUCCAGCAAUGCCGCGUGAGUGAUGAAGGCCUUAGGGUUGUAAAGCUCUUUUACCCGGGAUGAUAAUGACAGUACCGGGAGAAUAAGCGCCGGCUAACUCCGUG